GGGGGUGUGGUGGAAUGGUAGACACAACAGACUUAAAAUCUGUUGACUUUUCGGUCGUGAGGGUUCGAGUCCCUCCACCCCCA
rnacentral:tRNA from 1 species